rnacentral:lncRNA from 1 species
AUAAAGAGUCAAGACCCAUCAGUGUGCUGUAUUCAGGAAACCCAUCUCACGUGCAGAGACACACAUAGGCUUAAAAUAAAGGGAUGGAGGAAGAUCUACCAAGCAAAUGGAAAACAAAAAAAGGCAGGGGUUGCAAAAUCCUAGUCUCUGAUAAAACAGACUUUAAACCAACAAAGAUCAGAAGAGACAAAGAAGGCCAUUACAUAAUGGUAAAGGGAUCAAUUCAACAAGAAGAGCUAACUAUCCUAAAUAUAUAUGCACCCAAUACAGGAGCACCCAGAUUCAUAAAGCAAGUCCUUAGAGACCUACAAAGAGACUUAGACUCCCACACGAUAAUAAUGGGAGACUUUAACACCCCACUGUCAACAUUAGACAGAUCAACGAGAUAGAAAGUUAACAAGGAUAUGCAGGAAUUGAACUCAGCUCUGCACCAAGCGGACCUAAUAGACAUCUACAGAACUCUCCACCCCAAAUCAACAGAAUAUACAUUCUUUGCAGGACCACACCACACCUAUUCCAAAAUUGACCACAUAGUUGGAAGUAAAGCACUCCUCAGCAAAUGUAAAAGAACAGAAGUUAUAACAAACUGUCUCUCACACCACAGUGCAAUCAAACUGGAACUCAGGAUUAAGAAACUCACUCAAAACCACUCAACUACGUGGAAACUGAACAACCUGCUCCUGAAUGACUACUGGGUACAUAACGAAAUGAAGGCAGAAAUAAAGAUGUUCUUUGAAACCAAUGAGAACAAAGACACAACAUACCAGAAUCUCUGGGACACAUUCAAAGCAGUGUGUAGAGGGAAAUUUAUAGCACUAAAUGUCCACAAGAGAAAGCAGGAAAGAUCUAAAAUUGACACCCUAACAUCACAAUUAAAAGAACUAGAGAAGCAAGAGCAAACACAUUCAAAAGCUAGCAGAAGGCAAGAAAUAACUAAGAGCAGAACUGAAGGAAAUAGAGACACAAAAAACCCUUCAAAAAAUCAGUGAAUCCAGGAGCUGGUUUUUUGAAAAGAUCAACACAAUUGAUAGACCUACAAACCACUGCUCAAUGAAAUAAAAGAGGAUACAAACAAAUGGAAAAACAUUACAUGCUCAUGGGUAGGAAGAAUCAAUAUCAUGAAAAUGGCCAUACUGCCCAAGGUUAUUUAUAGAUUCAAUGCCAUCCCCAUCAAGCUACCAAUGACUUUCUUCACAGAAUUGGAAAAAACUACUUUAAAGUUCAUAUGGAACCAAAAAGCCCGCAUUGCCAAGUGAAUCCUAAGCCAAAAGAACAAAGCUGGAGGCAUCACGCUACCUGACUUCAAACUAUACUACAAGGCCACAGUAACCAAAACAGCAUGGUACUGGUACCAAAACAGAGAUAUAGACCAAUGGAACAGAACAGAGCCCUCAGAAAUAAUGCCGCAUAUCUACAACCAUCUGAUCUUUGACAAACCUGACAAAAACAAGAAAUGGGGAAACGAUUCCCUAUUUAACCAGUGGGGCUGGGAAAACUGGCUAGCCACAUGUAGAAAGCUGAAACUGGAUCCCUUCCUUAUACCUUAUACAAAUAUUAAUUCAAGAUGGAUUAAAGACUUACAUGUUAGACCUGAAACCACAAAAACCCUAGGAGAAAACCAAGGCAAUACCAUUUAGGACAUAGGCAUGGGCAAGGACUUCAUGUCUAAAACACCAAAAGCAAUGGCAACAAAAGCCAAAAUAGACAAAUGGGAUCUAAUUAAACUAAAGAGCUUCUGCACAGCAAAAGAAACUACCAUCAGAGUGAACAGACAACCUACAGAAUGGGAGAAAAUUUUUGCAAUCUACUCAUCUGACAAGGGGCUAAUAUCCAGAAUCUACAAUGAACUCAAACAAAUUUACAAGAAAAAAACAAACAACCCCAUCAAGAAGUGGGCGAAGGAUAUGAACAGACACUUCUCCAAAGAAGACAUUUAUGCAGCCAAAAGACAUGAAAAAAUGCUCACCAUCACUGGCCAUCAGAGAAAUGCAAAUCAAAACCACAAUGAGAUACCAUCUCACACCAGUUAGAAUGGCAAUCAUUAAAAAGUCAGGCAACAACAGGUGCUGGAGAGGAUGUGGAGAAAUAGGAACACGUUUACAAUGUUGGUGGACUGUAAACUAGUUCAACCAUUGUGGAAGUCAGUGUGGCGAUUCCUCAGGGAUCUAGAACUAGAAAUACCAUUUGACCCAGCCAUCCCAUUACUGGGUAUAUACCCAAAGGAUUCUAAAUCAUGCUGCUGUAAAGACACAUGCACACGUAUGUUUAUAGCGGCACUAUUCACAAUAGCAAAGACUUGGAACCAACCCAAAUGUCCAACAACGACAGACUGGAUUAAGAAAAUGUGGCACAUACACAUCAUGGAAUACUAUGCAGCCAUAAAAAAUGAUGAGUUCAUGUCCUUUGUAGGGACAUGGAUGAAGCUGGAAAGCAAGCAAACUAUUGCAAGGACAAAAAACCAAACACUGCAUGUUCUCAUUAGGUGGGAAUUGAACAAUGAGAACACAUGGACACAGGAAGGGGAACAUCACACACUGGGGCCUGUUGUGGGGUGGGGAGAGUGGGGAGGGAUAGCAUUAGGAGAUAUACCUAAUGUUAAAUGACGAGUUAAUGGGUGCAGCACACCAACAUGGCACAUAUAUACAUAUGUAACUAAUCUGCACAUUGUGCACAUGUACCCUACAACUUAAAGUAUAAUUAAAAAGAAAAGGAAAGAAAAUCUCACUGUUACUGUUUUUCAGCUCCCUGAGUCCAUUCUUUAGGUUUGGACUGGUGAGUUUGUUUCUCACAUCAGAAAACCAACAUUUCCUUAGAAGACAAAGAAAGGUGGUCUUACCUGGGCAUCAUCAUCAUCAUUGUCAUCAUCACAAUCAUCUUCACUUGGUGGUAGGCAUACUAAAGUCAGGUUGUCCUCAAGAGAAGCUGGGAGGACACAGAGGAAAGAUCAGUGCCCUGGUUGUUUGUGACUGUGAGUCACUCAGGGAGCUUUCCUGGAUGUGGUGUAAGGAGGUGGUUGAUUAAAUAGCAUGGACUGAGUUGAUGCUGGGCUAUUCCCCUGGGUGGAAGAGGGAUGGCAGAGGAGGGGAGCAGGAAAGACAUGAGACAUGGGGGCCUUGUCCUUGUACUAGAGGCAUCAUGCAGAAACACAAAACAGUCAACCCCAAAUGGAACUAAAGCACACACUAAGGGUCAAUGGAAGAGUGCCUUCCUCCCUCUCAAAUGUUUUGAAACUCUUCUAAACCAACAGCAUUUUCUUAACAUAUUCAAGAUCAUGUCAGUACACUAGAAUCCAAUUAUGCUGGUACUACAUGCACCAUCUCUUUUAAAGGAUUUAUUACUUAAUUAAAAGCCUAUUUUAUUGGUAAAAUGGAUCAAUUUUACCCAAUUUACUCUAUUGUAU